rnacentral:rRNA from 1 species
UGAGUUUGAUCCUGGCUCAGAUUGAACGCUGGCGGCAUGCCUUACACAUGCAAGUCGAACGGCAGCACGGGUGCUUGCACCUGAUGGCGAGUGGCGAACGGGUGAGUAAUACAUCGGAACAUGUCCUGUAGUGGGGGAUAGCCCGGCGAAAGCCGGAUUAAUGCCGCAUACGAUCUACGGAUGAAAGCGGGGGACCUUCGGGCCUCGCGCUAUAGGGUUGGCCGAUGGCUGAUUAGCUAGUUGGUGGGGUAAAGGCCUACCAAGGCGACGAUCAGUAGCUGGUCUGAGAGGACGACCAGCCACACCGGGACUGAGACACGGCCCAGACUCCUACGGGAGGCAGCAGUGGGGAAUUUUGGACAAUGGGCGAAAGCCUGAUCCAGCAAUGCCGCGUGUGUGAAGAAGGCCUUCGGGUUGUAAAGCACUUUUGUCCGGAAAGAAAUCCUUGGCUCUAAUACAGUCGGGGGAUGACGGUACCGGAAGAAUAAGCACCGGCUAACUACGUGCCAGCAGCCGCGGUAAUACGUAGGGUGCGAGCGUUAAUCGGAAUUACUGGGCGUAAAGCGUGCGCAGGCGGUUUGCUAAGACCGAUGUGAAAUCCCCGGGCUCAACCUGGGAACUGCAUUGGUGACUGGCAGGCUAGAGUAUGGCAGAGGGGGGUAGAAUUCCACGUGUAGCAGUGAAAUGCGUAGAGAUGUGGAGGAAUACCGAUGGCGAAGGCAGCCCCCUGGGCCAAUACUGACGCUCAUGCACGAAAGCGUGGGGAGCAAACAGGAUUAGAUACCCUGGUAGUCCACGCCCUAAACGAUGUCAACUAGUUGUUGGGGAUUCAUUUCCUUAGUAACGUAGCUAACGCGUGAAGUUGACCGCCUGGGGAGUGCGGUCGCAAGAUUAAAACUCAAAGGAAUUGACGGGGACCCGCACAAGCGGUGGAUGAUGUGGAUUAAUUCGAUGCAACGCGAAAAACCUUACCUACCCUUGACAUGGUCGGAAUCCCGCUGAGAGGUGGGAGUGCUCGAAAGAGAACCGGCGCACAGGUGCUGCAUGGCUGUCGUCAGCUCGUGUCGUGAGAUGUUGGGUUAAGUCCCGCAACGAGCGCAACCCUUGUCCUUAGUUGCUACGCAAGAGCACUCUAAGGAGACUGCCGGUGACAAACCGGAGGAAGGUGGGGAUGACGUCAAGUCCUCAUGGCCCUUAUGGGUAGGGCUUCACACGUCAUACAAUGGUCGGAACAGAGGGUUGCCAACCCGCGAGGGGGAGCUAAUCCCAGAAAACCGAUCGUAGUCCGGAUUGCACUCUGCAACUCGAGUGCAUGAAGCUGGAAUCGCUAGUAAUCGCGGAUCAGUAUGCCGCGGUGAAUACGUUCCCGGGUCUUGUACACACCGCCCGUCACACCAUGGGAGUGGGUUUUACCAGAAGUGGCUAGUCUAACCGCAAGGAGGACGGUCACCACGGUAGGAUUCAUGACUGGGGUGAAGUCGUAACAAGGUAA